rnacentral:rRNA from 1 species
GAUGAACGCUGGCGGCGUGCUUAACACAUGCAAGUCGAACGAAGCAUUUGCGACAGAUUUUUUCGGAAUGAAGUUGCUUAUGACUGAGUGGCGGACGGGUGAGUAACGCGUGGGUAACCUGCCUUGUACUGGGGGAUAGCAGCUGGAAACGGCUGGUAAUACCGCAUAAGCGCACAAUGUUGCAUGACAUGGUGUGAAAAACUCCGGUGGUAUAAGAUGGACCCGCGUCUGAUUAGCUAGUUGGUGAGUUAACAGCCCACCAAGGCGACGAUCAGUAGCCGACCUGAGAGGGUGACCGGCCACAUUGGGACUGAGACACGGCCCAGACUCCUACGGGAGGCAGCAGUGGGGAAUAUUGCACAAUGGAGGAAACUCUGAUGCAGCGACGCCGCGUGAGUGAAGAAGUAAUUCGUUAUGUAAAGCUCUAUCAGCAGGGAAGAUAGUGACGGUACCUGACUAAGAAGCUCCGGCUAAAUACGUG